rnacentral:rRNA from 1 species
GACGAACGCUGGCGGCGUGCCUAACACAUGCAAGUCGAGCGGGAACCUCAGGAGGGGUAACCCUUCCGAGGGGAGAGCGGCGAACGGGUGAGUAACACGUGGGCAACCUGCCCCGGACACCGGGAUAACCCAGGGAAACCUGAGCUAAUACCGGAUACUCCGGCGCGAUCGCAUGGUCGCGCCGGGAAAGCUCCGACGGUCCGGGAUGGGCCCGCGGCCUAUCAGCUUGUUGGUGGGGUAACGGCCCACCAAGGCGACGACGGGUAGCUGGUCUGAGAGGACGGCCAGCCACACUGGGACUGAGACACGGCCCAGACUCCUACGGGAGGCAGCAGUGGGGGAUCUUGCGCUAAUGCGCGAAAGCGUGACGCAGCGACGCCGCGUGGGGGAUGAAGGCCUUCGGGUUGUAAACCCCUUUCGGCAGGGACGAAGGGAAACUGACGGUACCUGCAGAAGAAGUCCCGGCUAACUACGUGC